rnacentral:rRNA from 1 species
UACGGGGGAUGCAAGCGUUAUCCGGAAUCACUGGGCGUAAAGCGUCUGCAGGUGGUUUCCUAAGUCCACUGUUAAACCUUGAGGCUCAACCUCAAAUCUGCAUUGGAAACUAGGAGACUUGAGUAUAGUAGGGGUAGAGGGAAUUUCCAGUGGAGCGGUGAAAUGCGUAGAUAUUGGAAAGAACACCGAUGGCGAAGGCACUCUACUGGGCUAUUACUGACACUCAGAGACGAAAGCUAGGGGAGCAAAUGGG